AAAGUGGCGGACGGGUGAGUAACGCGUGGGCAACCUGCCCCGUGCCGGGGGAUACCGCCUGGAAACAGGCGCUAAUACCGCAUAAGCGCAUACAGCCGCAUGGCAGUAUGCGGAAAGCUCCGGCGGCACGGGAUGGGCCCGCGCCCGAUUAGCCAGUUGGCGGGGUAACGGCCCACCAAAGCGACGAUCGGUAGCCGGCCUGAGAGGGCGGACGGCCACAUUGGGACUGAGACACGGCCCAAACUCCUACGGAAGGCAGCAG
rnacentral:rRNA from 1 species